GAUGAAGAACGCAGCGAAAUGCGAUAAGUAGUGUGAAUUGCAGAAUUCAGUGAAUCAUCGAAUCUUUGAACGCACAUUGCGCCCCUUGGUAUCCCGAGGGGCAUGCCUGUUCGAGCGUCAUUUCACCACUCAAGCCUGGCUUGGUGUUGGGCGACGUCCCCUUUGGGGACGCGCCUCGAAACGCUCGGCGGCGUGGCACCGGCUUUAAGCGUAGCAGAAUCUUUCGCUUUGGAAGUCGGGGCUCCGUCUGCCGGAAGACCUACUCGCAAGGUUGACCUCGGAUCAGGCAGGGAUACCCGCUGAACUUAAGCAUAUCAAUAAGCGGAGGA
rnacentral:misc_RNA from 1 species